UCCCUGGUGGUCCAGUGGUUAGGACUCAGUGCUUUCAUUGCUGUGGCUGUGGGUUCAAUCCCUGGUUUGGGAA
rnacentral:tRNA from 1 species